GUCUAUGGCCAUAUCACCAUGAACGCGCGAGAUCUCCUUGGAUCUCGGAAGCUAAGCAGGGUCGGGUCUGGUGAGUACCUGGAUGGAGACUGCCUGGGAAUACCCGGUGCUGUAGGCU
rnacentral:rRNA from 1 species